rnacentral:rRNA from 1 species
ACUGGUGUCAGCCGCCGCGGUAAUACCAGCUCUCCGAGUGGUAGGGAUGAUUAUUGGGCCUAAAGCGUUCGUAGCCGGCCUGGCAAGUCUCUCGUUAAAUCCAGCGACUUAAUCGCUGGGCUGCGGGAGAUACUGUUGGGCUUGGGAGCGGAAGAGGCCGACGGUAUUCUCGGGGUAGGGGUGAAAUCCUGUAAUCCCGGGAGGACCACCAGUGGCGAAGGCUGUCGACUAGAACGCGCUCGACGGUGAGGGACGAAAGCUGGGGGAGCGAACCGGAUUAGAUACCCGGGUAGUCCCAGCUGUAAACUAUGCGGGCUAGGUGUUGGGGUGGCUACGGGCCACUUCAGUGCCGCAGGAAAGCCAUUAA